rnacentral:rRNA from 1 species
GAUGAACGCUAGCGGCAGGCCUAACACAUGCAAGUCGAGGGGUAGCAGGAUUAAGAUUGCUUAAUUGCUGACGACCGGCGCACGGGUGCGUAACGCGUAUGCAACCUACCUUAUACUGGGGUAUAGCCCGCAGAAGUUCGGAUUAAUCCCCCAUAGUACUAAUGAAUCGCCUGGUUUAUUAGUUAAAGCAUUGCGGUAUAAGAUGGGCAUGCGUCCUAUUAGCUCGAUGGUGAGGUAACGGCUCACCAUGGCUACGAUAGGUAGGGGGCCUGAGAGGGUGGUCCCCCACACUGGUACUGAGACACGGACCAGACUCCUACGGGAGGCAGCAGUGAGGAAUAUUGGUCAAUGGGCGCAAGCCUGAACCAGCCAUGCCGCGUGCAGGAAGAAUGCCCUAUGGGUUGUAAACUGCUUUUAUUUGGGAAUAAACCUCUUUACGUGUAGAGAGCUGAAGGUACCAAAUGAAUAAGCACCGGCUAACUCCGUGCAGCAGCCGCCGCCGUAA